UACAGAGGUCUCAAGCGUUGUUCGGAAUCACUGGGCGUAAAGGGUGCGUAGGUGGCGUGGUAAGUCAGAUGUGAAAGCCCGGGGCUCAGCCUCGGAAUUGCAUCCGAUACUACCAUGCUGGAGUACUGAAGAGGAAACUAGAAUUCUCGGUGUAGCAGUGAAAUGCGUAGAUAUCGAGAGGAAUACCAAAGGCGAAGGCAGGUUUCUUGGCAGUUACUGACACUGAGGCACGAAGGCCAGGGGAGCAAACGGG
rnacentral:rRNA from 1 species